rnacentral:rRNA from 1 species
UACGUAGGGAGCAAGCGUUGUCCGGAUUUAUUGGGCGUAAAGAGCUCGUAGGCGGCUUAGAAAGUCAGGUGUGAAACCUCCAGGCUCAACUUGGAGACGCCACUUGAUACUUCUAUGGCUUGAGUCUGGUAGGGGAACACGGAAUUCCUGGUGUAGCGGUGAAAUGCGCAGAUAUCAGGAGGAACACCGAUGGCGAAGGCAGUGUUCUGGGCCAGUACUGACGCUGAGGAGCGAAAGCGUGGGGAGCGAACAGG